UUCAGCAGCCAUAUCACCCUGCAAUUCACAACUGGCAACCCACUGAAGCUAAGCAGGUGUGAGCCUGGUCAGUACCUGGAUGGGAGACCUCUUGGGAAAAACUAAGGUUCCUGCUGGAA
ensembl:rRNA 5S_rRNA 5S ribosomal RNA